UACAGAGGUCCCAAGCGUUGUUCGGAUUCACUGGGCGUAAAGGGUGCGUAGGCGGUCGGGUAAGUCUGAUGUGAAAUCUCACAGCUUAACUGUGAAACUGCAUUGGAUACUAUCCGGCUCGAGGAAUGGAGGGGAGACUGGAAUACUUGGUGUAGCAGUGAAAUGCGUAGAUAUCAAGUGGAACACCAGUGGCGAAGGCGGCUCUCUGGGCAGAUACUGACACUGAGACGCGAAAGCGUGGGUAGCAAACAGG
rnacentral:rRNA from 1 species